UUACUCGUUCAGCCAUGCAGUAUUUUUCAAAGUGGUAUGGUCAUUUACACAACCCAUACCACUUUAAAAAAUACUGAAUGGCUGAACGAGUAACGUGCGA
rnacentral:pre_miRNA from 1 species